rnacentral:rRNA from 1 species
UACGUAGGGUGCUAGCGUUAUCCGGAUUUACUGGGCGUAAAGGGUGCGUAGGGGGUCUUUUAAGUCGAUGGUUAAAGCCUCAGGCUCAACCGUAUAAAGCCGCCGAAACUGGAAGGCUUGAGUGCAGGAGAGGAAAGUGGAAUUCCCAGUGUAGCGGUGAAAUGCGUAGAUAUUGGGAAGAACACCAGUAGCGAAGGCGGCUUCCUGGACAGAAACUGACACUGAGGCACGAAAGCGUGGGGAGCAAACAGG